CCCUACGGGAGGCAGCAGUGGGGGAUAGUUGCACAAUGGGCGCAAGCCUGAUGCAGCAACGCCGCGUGUGGGAUGACGCUUUUCGGAGUGUAAACCACUGUUCGUGGGGACGAAGCACUGACGGUACCCACGGAGGAAGGCCCGGCUAACUACGUGCCAGCAGCCGCGGUAAUACGUAGGGUCGAGCGUUGUCCGGAGUUACUGGGCGUAAAGCGCAUGCAGGCGGCUCAUUACGCAUGGCGUGAAAGCCCCCGGCUUAACCGGGGAGGGUCGUCGUGAACGGGUGAGCUUGAGGGUAUCAGGGGCUGGUGGAAUUCCCGGUGUAGUGGUGAAAUGCGUAGAGAUCGGGAGGAACACCUGUGGCGAAGGCGGCCAGCUGGGAUACACCUGACGCUGAGAUGCGAAGGCGUGGGGAGCGAACGGGAUUAGAUACCCCGGUAGUCCACGCAGUAAACGAUGCAGACUAGGCGUGGGAGGACUUGACCCCUUCCGUGCCGGAGCUAACGCGAUAAGUCUGCCGCCUGGGGAGUACGGUCGCAAGACUAAAACUCAA
rnacentral:rRNA from 1 species